rnacentral:tRNA from 1 species
GGUAAUAAAGCUUUUAUAAGCGUUAUAUUGUAAAUAUGAAGAAAAAUAAUUUUAUUAUUCUAA